UACGGGGGGAGCAAGCGUUGUUCGGAUUUACUGGGCGUAAAGGGCGCGUAGGCGGCCACCGCAAGUCGACUGUGAAAUCUCCGGGCUUAACCCGGAAAGGUCAGCCGAUACUGCGGGGCUAGAGUGCAGAAGGGGCAAUCGGAAUUCUUGGUGUAGCGGUGAAAUGCGUAGAUAUCAAGAGGAACACCUGAGGUGAAGACGGGUUGCUGGGCUGACACUGACGCUGAGGCGCGAAAGCUAGGGUAGCAAACGGG
rnacentral:rRNA from 1 species